CUUUGUGUAUCUAAAAAUAUAAGUGCCAGGUUCUUACCCUGGUAAUGUGGUAACCACCGCAAAGU
rnacentral:tRNA from 1 species